CAGGGGCUUGUGGGUGCAGGAUCAGCGUGAGAAAAGUGCCAUUUCUACGUGCUAAGAAACAUCAUAGAAGCAACGCCAUAAGUUCAUAUGACAGUUGAUAUGUUGAAGUAAAAAUGUUAACGCUGAUUCUGUUAAAAGAAAUGACAGUUGAUGAGGUUUACUUUCUUGUGCUAUUUAAAGCGUUGCUGCCUGAUGGUUGAGGGGUAGUAACUGCCCUUGAACCUGGUGGUGCAAGUCCUGAGGCUCGUGGACCUCCUACCUGAUGGCAGCAGCAAGAAAAGAGCAUGGCCUGGGUGGUGCCUGUCAAAGACUGCAUUGAGUGAAUGAAUAUCUGCCCAAGCUGCCAGAUGGAUCUACAUUGGGAGAAAUAUUGUGACGUGAUCUUAUCUGUGAUGCUCUUCAUAACUUUAUAAGCCUCUACACUCAGGAUGUUCUCUGCUGAAUGCUAUGUUGAACCUUUCUGUCAUCUCCAGCUAGAAUCCAUACAACAAUGCUGUGGUUCUCCAUCAGUACCAAUUGAACAACCUUCCUUCAGGCAAUGCCUUUGAUCACA